UUAGAAAGCACACGUUUUCCUCUUUCCACUCACUCCACGUUGCCUAAACCGCGGUUUCCUCUUCCCGGCGGCGCUGGCACUGCGGCAGCUGAGGCGCGCUCCGCUCCCGGGAACCUCGGGCCUUGGCGCGCCAUUUUCCGUCGCGCAGUUAGUUGCCGGGGCGUCCUGAGACCUUUUGAUCGGGUCCCUUUCGUCUCUAGGCCCCUCGGCGAUCUCCGAUCAGACUCACCCACCAGAGCACCGCCACAAAGGUCCGGGGAAGAAACCUCUCACCUCCCUGGAGUCUCAGCUCAGCGUUUGGGAAGGAACCGUUUAAAAACCCAGGACAUACACGAUCUUGGUGCCAAUGUGUUGGCGCUGUGGGACGAGCGUAGUUGGACAACUUUCAAACCACAGCGCCAGGGCAGCCAAGCAUCCUGACGACCGGAAGUGCCUGUGGGGAAGCUGGACUUGCACUUAGAUUGCACUUGGAGACCUCCAGCCUCCUCUAACCCAGGCCUCUUAAGGAAUGUGAAUCAAUAAGUGGCAUAAAUUAUUCACCUCAAGGAACAUUCUCAGAAAUGAAUGUCAGACUGGAGAAAUCGCCAGCAGGGUAUUCGCUCUUUUCAGUGUUUGGCUCUCGGUUCACCUUCUGAAUGGCUGGGCCUGUCUAAGCUAUGAAACAUUCAGAUCUCAGAGAAGAAUGAUGACUCUAAGUUGUGCUGAGAUUUCAAGGCAACUCUGAGUUUCCUUUUCAGCCUCUUCCGCAGGGUCAGGGAAAGAGCGUGUGGGCACAGUGUCAUUGUGGGCAAUGCCAUAGGACCCCUCUGUGCCGUGAUCUCAGGGUCUGGAAAGGACCUGUCCUCUGUUCAAACAGGCCUUUUCUCCUUGCUGGCUGAGAUAUCAGAAAUUCAACCCCUCUCUUAAAACCAUUCUGAGGGCUUUGCCUCUUUGGAAGGCUCCUUUCAAACUGCAAAGCCUCAGGAGGGGAGGAGAGGAAAAUUAAAAUGUAUUGAACACCUUCUGGGAUUUUUUUCAUUGUCAUGCAUCCUCCCCCACAAAAUAGAUAUGCUUUGCAAACUUGCUUUGUUAGUUUUUUCUUUUAAAUUGUUGGAAGUUCCUUUCCAUACGCUGCAGGUGUGGCCCUAAGAAAACAUAACAAACAAACAAACAAAAAAGACACACAUUGUGGACACACUAUAUACACACACACACACACACAAAACCCAUGUAAUUUUCAUGAAUAUGUAAGUAAGGAAAAUGACUGGAAGCGAGUAUAUUUUAAGUAUUAAUAUUGGUUAUUUCUGGGGGGUGUGUGCAUACUUACUACAGUACUCUAUAUUCUUUCUUGAAUUUUACAGCAAAAAUGUCAAUAUUUUAUUUUAUUUUUUAAUGAUGAUCUAGGAAAGAAAGAGGGUAUUUGUUUUGUUUGGGGGGGGGU
rnacentral:lncRNA from 1 species